rnacentral:rRNA from 1 species
GACGAACGCUGGCGGCGUGCUUAACACAUGCAAGUCGAACGAAAAUACCAAGCUUGCUUGGUUGAUUAGUGGCGAACGGGUGAGUAACACGUGAGUAACCUGCCCCUUACUUUCCUGGAUAACUGCUCGAAAGGGUAGCUAAUACGGGAUAUUCUGACCAGCCUGCAUGGGUUGGUUUGGAAAGGUUGUUUUUCUGGUAAGGGAUGGGCUCGCGGCCUAUCAGCUUGUUGGUGGGGUGAUGGCCUACCAAGGCUUUGACGGGUAGCCGGCCUGAGAGGGUGGACGGUCACACUGGGACUGAGAUACGGCCCAGACUCCUACGGGAGGCAGCAGUGGGGAAUAUUGCACAAGGGGCGCAAGCCUGAUGCAGCGACGCCGCGUGAGGGAGGAAGGCCUUCGGGUUGUAAACCUCUUUCGUCAGGGAACAAGGCACUGCUUGUGUGGUGGUGUUGAGGGUACCUGGAUAAGAAGCGCCGGCUAACUACGUG